AUUGAACGCUGGCGGCAUGCCUUACACAUGCAAGUCGAACGGUAACGGGCCUUCGGGUGCCGACGAGUGGCGAACGGGUGAGUAAUGUAUCGGAACGUACCUUUCAGUGGGGGAUAACGUAGCGAAAGUUACGCUAAUACCGCAUAUUCUGUGAGCAGGAAAGCAGGGGAUCGCAAGACCUUGCGCUGAUUGAGCGGCCGAUAUCAGAUUAGCUAGUUGGUGAGGUAAAGGCUCACCAAGGCGACGAUCUGUAGCGGGUCUGAGAGGAUGAUCCGCCACACUGGAACUGAGACACGGUCCAGACUCCUACGGGAGGCAGCAGUGGGGAAUUUUGGACAAUGGGGGCAACCCUGAUCCAGCCAUGCCGCGUGAGUGAAGAAGGCCUC
rnacentral:rRNA from 1 species